rnacentral:rRNA from 1 species
CGCGUAGGCGGAUGGUUAAGUCCGGUGUGAAAGAUCAGGGCUCAACCUUGGGGCUGCAUUUGAUACGUGUAGACUAGAGUGUGAGAGAGGGUUGUGGAAUUCCCAGUGUAGAGGUGAAAUUCGUAGAUAUUGGGAAGAACACCGGUGGCGAAGGCGGCAACCUGGCUCAUUACUGACGCUGAGGCGCGAAAGCGUGGGGAGCAAACAGGAUUAGAUACCCCGGUA